UUCGGAUUGUAGUCUGCAACUCGACUACAUGAAGCUGGAAUCGCUAGUAAUCGCAGAUCAGAAUGCUGCGGUGAAUACGUUCCCGGGUCUUGUACACACCGCCCGUCACACCAUGGGAGUCGGAAAUGCCCGAAGCCGGUGACCAAACCAAUAAGGAAGGAGCCGUCGAAGGCAGGUCUGAUAACUGGGGUGAAGUCGUAACAAGGUACC
rnacentral:rRNA from 1 species